rnacentral:rRNA from 1 species
UACGUAGGGUGCGAGCGUUAAUCGGAAUUACUGGGCGUAAAGCGUGUGCAGGCGGUCUGUUAAGACAGGCGUGAAAUCCCCGGGCUUAACCUGGGAAUUGCGCUUGUUACUGGCAGACUAGAGUGCGUCAGAGGGAGGUGGAAUUCCACGUGUAGCAGUGAAAUGCGUAGAGAUGUGGAGGAACACCGAUGGCGAAGGCAGCCUCCUGGGAUGACACUGACGCUCAUACACGAAAGCGUGGGGAGCAAACAGG